rnacentral:lncRNA from 1 species
UUUUUCAUAAGGAAACAUAAUAAGCAGAGUAUCGCAGCAAAAAGCGAAUCGAUUAUAUGUAUGAAGACAUAUAACCGCGAGUAAAUUGCUUAAAUUCAAAGAAAAACAAAGUAUCUCAAUUAUCAAGACUCUAUCCACAUGAAGGCACAACAGUAAUAUAAAUACAUUGAUUGAAAUGUUUCCCCCACCAGCACCAGACCAAUCUCGCUCCCCGUUUAGCCUGCACAUUUAAAAAUACAUGCAGGGCAUGAGCACAUAAUACUCAGUGGGCAAACGCCGAAAAACAAGAAACGUGCUCUUAGAGCUAUAAGUUUGAAACUUGCCACAUCUCAGCCAUACACAGGAAUAACUUAGCGUNGGAAAAUCUAUCACAGAUUCAAUCAUGUUGCACUCAUCUAGCUGCGGCUCCUUCGGUCUUCUCAUAGCGUCAUAGAUAGAUAAAGUCAAUUUUUCAUCAUUGACUCUAAAUGUGAGAUCUCCAUCAUGUACAUCAAUAAGAGCAUGGCCGGUAGUUAGGAAUGGACGCCCCAAAAUCAAUGGAGUAUUCUUGUCCUCCGGCAUGUCCAAGACCACAAAGUCCGCAGGAAAAAUAAACUGCUCCAUCUGCACAAGAACAUCCUCCACAAUUCCCUUUGGAUAAGUAAGGGAACGAUCUGCCAUCUGCAGAGCAAUCGAUGUGGGCCUGAUCUCUCCAAUCUCCAAUCGUUUGAAAAUAGAUAGGGGCAUCAAAUUGAUGCUAGCCCCUAAAUCACAAAGAGCACGGGAGAAAUUCUAUCCUCCAAUCACACAAGCGAUGGUAAAGCUACCGAGAUCUUUCUGCUUCAACGGUAGCUUUUUCUGUAAUACCGCACUGCACUCCUCUGAUAAAUUGAUCGUCUCAUAUUUCCCCAACUUUUUCUUGUUGGAAACUGCAUCCUUGAGGAACUUAGCAUACCCCGGCAUACCUCUCAGCGCAUCAAGUAAUGGAAUAUUGAUUUGUAACUUUGAAAAUAUCUCCAUAAACUUGCCCAUCUUCUCAUCCAACUUCGACUUUAGCAAACGCCCUGGAAACGGAGCUACAGGCUUGUACUCCGAUCUAGGGAACGAAGGGGUAGGAACAGGCUCCUUAACAGCAGAAGAGCUCGAAUCGUUCUUAGGGGAGGCGACUGUUUCGCUGCAAGCUCCUCCAAGUCAUCAUCAUCGUCCUCCACUACUUUGCCUUUUCCCUUGUCAUUCUGCAGCUCUGGAAAAUUUUGGUACUCAGUCCCGCUUCGAAGAUAGAUCGCAUUACACUGAUUUUUGGGAUUAAUUUCAGUGUUGCUAGGAAAGUGGCCCGGCUUGUGCUGUGCAGCUGCUUGGUUAGCCAUCUGACCAACUUGAUUCUCUAACAUCUGCACCUGCUUAGAAAGUGAUGAAAAAUUUUGCUCCAUGCUGAACAUUUUGGUUCCCAUGUUUGCCGAGUUUGCCUCCAUCCCGGUGACCUUCACCAACACUUGCUUCAUCAUCUCCUCCAUUGAAUCUUUCUUUGGCUCAUUGAUUACUCCCCCACUAGAAACAGAAAAUCCUGGUGGAGGUUGCACAGCAUUAUUUGGGUUGCCAUAAGAAAGAUUCGGAUGCGGGCGUCCUCCUGGCUGGAACUGCUGCUGGCCCUACUGAUAUUGCUGACCUCUGUUAUACAUUCCUGGCUGUCCUCGCUGGAAAUUCCUAUAGUUUCUACCAUUAAUAUAAUUGAUAUCUUCCAUCCCUGAAGGGUCUGUCACAGCUUGCUCAGGACGUCCAACAUUCAAUUCACUAAUUUUUGUACUCAGCUCUGCCAGCUGUGUACCCUGAAGGAAUAUUAAAUUGAAUUAACGUUCCGUUUGCCCGAUGAUCGUUUCUUGGAUUAUUAUUAAUUUAUCAUACAACGAUUAAUCCCUAACAAGCUCCUAUGAAUUAACAGCUGCAAAUAGGUGUUAGGAUUUACUUACUUGUGAAUUGGAUGCACAGAUGAUUGAUGAUCGUAUCGAACGACUCCAGUUCUGAUCUUCUAGACUGUAUCCCGCUCUAGCUCACCGUUGGAUGGACAACAAACUGUGAGAAAACCCAAGCCAGAAAGUUUCCCACGUUUCCUGCGCCUCUCUCAGUUCUCAAACCCUAAAUAAUUAUCAGAGUGUGUUUUCUGAGAGCUGACAGCUGUAUUUAAAAAUACAGAAAAAGGGCGAAGGCGCCAGUUUUAGGGUAGGGCACGAUUUCUGGCUCUUUCUGGGCUAGGAGACUUUGGGCCAGUCCAGGGACCAAAUACAAGGAAUAAAGAUGGGCCUCAAAUAAAUUAAUUUAUCUAUGGUCAGCCCAUACCAUAAUUAAUUUAUAAAUAUUAGUUCAUUCCACUAGAGAACCAAUAUUGACUUACCCCUUCAUUAUCGGUGAUGAGUCGGGGCUUGUAUUUAGACUUAUUAAAUCCUCGUAUUUAAAAUAUCCGACAUCCAUUAAUUAAUUAGAGCUCUGACAGCCUAAAUUAAUUAAUCUCUUAGUAAUCCUUAAGCAGUACCACUCAAAACUUAUUAUUGCGCCUGAACUUAAUCAACCUGCAGGGUUUAGCGCAAUAAACAUUAUUGAGCUCCUUAAGGGGAUGUCAUUAUCCUAUACGGAUACGAGUACCAAUACAGAUAAUCAGAUAUCAUAUAUUAACCGCUAUCACCCAAGAUACAGAGUACUCAAGUUACUAUAUAACUCUUGCUCAUAGUAAGUCAAAGUGAUAGACGAAUCAAUAUAUAUAUCUGACAUCUUAUUAGUAUUAAGAUCUUAUAAGUCACCGAGAUCUCUAAUUCUUCACUUAAGUCAGAUAGAAGAAUAUAUCUCACUGUGGUCCUAUCAAUACGUAUUUCGUACCGGUAUAGAUAAGCAGUCAAGACAAACUACUUCCAUCUAUACCGCAACCUAAACCAAUAACUUGUCCUAGAGUUAUUUCGGUUGUGAUCAUAUUAUAUCUCUUAAGGUUAAUCCAAUUAUAUGGUCUUCUGUGAUCUACAACACACCAUAUAAUCUACUUGUAUAGAGACAAAGAACAUACAUAUGCAAUCAUGAAUCCAAUGAGAUAGGAGAUUAAAAGGUGAAAACAGGAAUCAUUGUAUACAAGCAUAAAACGUUCUUGCUUUCUGUCGCAGCCCGAUUCCCAAACACUAGUAAUAGUGGGGUACGAGUAUCGAUACGACUAAAAUAUAUGAAUAAAGGACAUCACAACUGAACUGAACAUCGGCGCGGAAGCUUACAUCAAAACAUGCUAAGGCAAGACAUUAUAAAUCGACUCAAGGGUAUAAAUAUCAACGAUGAUAUAACUUCUUGACUAUCAGGAAUUUCAAGAAGAAAAACAAAGUAGGUACAUCUUAUUUUUCAUAAGGAAGUAUAAUAUCAAGAGUGCCGCAGCAAAAGGCGUAUCAAUUAUAUGUAUGAAGACAUAUAACCGAGAGUAUAUUGCUUAAUUCAAAACAAAGUAACACCUCACUAAGAUUUCAUCACAAAAAAUGGCAUUUAGCUCAAAGAAAACAGCGGAUCAAACAACUCCCCACCAGCACCAGACCAAUCUCGCUCGGAGCUUAGCCUGCACAUUUAGAAAUACAUGCAGGGCGUGAGUAAUAAUACUCAGUGGACAAACGCCGAAAAAAAAUAAAAGCUGCUCUUAGAGCUAUAGAUUGAACUUGCCACAUUUAAGCAAUACACGUGAGUUAUAUCUUAAAAGAACCUGUGCAAGCAGUUUUUAACCAUAAAAUCAUAAAUAAGUGUCUGCAGACAAGUACUCGACAUGUAUGUACCGCAUCUACAACUCAUCAUCAUAAUCAAGGUACUAAGAAGUAGGCCUCCUUCUCAAGCACCGUGACCGGCCGACCCGAAGACGGCUCACGGUCACCUCUCGUGUACACAACCCCCGCUUGUGGCAGGAUCCGAAUUCGUCUCAUCUCAUCAGUAGAGGGUAACAUACAGGCUCAACAUCAAAAACUUGGCAAGUCAAACAGUUCUCAAACAUCAUUUAUCUCAAAACAUUUGUUAAACUCAUAAUAUCAUCAAAUCAUUUAGAAAGCUCGUAUAUAUAAAUAUUAUACUCAAAAUAUUGCCCACCUGAAGUCCUUCGCUCAACUUGGAAAGGAAAACAGGCGACUUACUUCUUCAUCUCGCU